rnacentral:rRNA from 1 species
AGGACGAACGCUGGCGGCGUGCUUAACACAUGCAAGUCGAGCGGUAAGGCCCUUUCGGGGGUACACGAGCGGCGAACGGGUGAGUAACACGUGAGUAAUCUGCCCUCCACUUGGGGAUAAGCUUCGGAAACGGGGUCUAAUACCUGAUACGACACAGUCUCGCAUGAGAUCUGUGUGGAAAGUUUUUUCGGUGGGGGAUGUGCUCGCGGCCUAUCAGCUUGUUGGUGGGUAAUGGCCUACCAAGGCUUCGGACGGGUAGCCGGCCUGAGGAGGGUCGACCGGCCACACGUGGGACUGAGACGACGGCCCAGACUCCGUACGGGAGCAGCGAGGUGGGAAUAGUGGACAAGUGGGACGGAAGCC